rnacentral:tRNA from 1 species
GCUAGUGUAGCUUAACCCCUAAAGCAUAACACUGAAGAUGUUAAGAUG